GGGAAGUGUGCUACACGGUGAUAGCCUCAGACUGUAAAUCUGACACCUCUGGUUGAAUAGGUUCGACUCCUUUACUUCCCA
rnacentral:tRNA from 1 species